GACAUUCCAAAUACCGAGAUACUCAAAAAUAAGUUGAGAUAUUUAAAACAACUCACAAAGAAAAGGUUUAAAAAAUCAAAUCUUAUAUCCAUUAUGCUAAGGUAGUCAAAUUUCUUCCCAAAUAUUGACAAAGUGACCACUUACCAUUCUUCAAAGAUUUCCCCCUCUGAUAACCCAUAAAGUUUCGUGAAUGCUCCAUGUGUA
rnacentral:lncRNA from 1 species